rnacentral:misc_RNA from 1 species
GAUGAAGAACGCAGUGAAAUGCGAUAAUUAAUGUGAAUUGCAGAAUUCAGUGAAUCAUCGAGUCUUUGAACGCACAUUGCGCCCCCUGGUAUUCCGGGGGGCAUGCCUGUCCGAGCGUCAUUGCUGCCCUCAAGCACGGCUUGUGUGUUGGGCUUCCGUCCCUGGCAACGGGGACGGGCCCAAAAGGCAGUGGCGGCACCAUGUCUGGUCCUCGAGCGUAUGGGGCUUUGUCACCCGCUCCCGUAGGUCCAGCUGGCAGCUAGCCUCGCAGCCAAUCUUUUUAACCAGGUUGACCUCGGAUCAGGUAGGGAUACCCGCUGAACUUAAGCAUAUCAAUAAGCGGAGGA